GAGUUUGAUCCUGGCUCAGGAUGAACGCUGGCGGCGUGCCUAACACAUGCAAGUCGAACGAAGCACCUUACCUGAUUCUUCGGAUGAAGGUCUGGUGACUGAGUGGCGGACGGGUGAGUAACGCGUGGGUAACCUGCCUCAUACAGGGGGAUAACAGUUAGAAAUGACUGCUAAUACCGCAUAAGACCACAGCACCGCAUGGUGCAGGGGUAAAAACUCCGGUGGUACAGGAUGGACCCGCGUCUGAUUAGGCAGUUGGCGGGGUAACGGCCCACCAAACCGACGAUCAGUAGCCGGCCUGAGAGGGCGACCGGCCACAUUGGGACUGAGACACGGCCCAAACUCCUACGGGAGGCAGCAGUGGGGAAUAUUGCACAAUGGGGGAAACCCUGAUGCAGCGACGCCGCGUGAGCGAAGAAGUAUUUCGGUAUGUAAAGCUCUAUCAGCAGGGAAGAUAAUGACGGUACCUGACUAAGAAGCCCCGGCUAACUACGUGCCAGCCGCCGCGGUAAUUC
rnacentral:rRNA from 1 species